GAAAGAUGUCUCAAGAAUCCCUUUAAAGGAGCCACCAGUGUGCCCAGGGACAGAUGAGCAGCAUCCAGAGACCAGCACUCGUCCCCUGCCCGGAGUCUGAGGAGCAGUGAACUGAAGAGUUGAUGUGUUCAGAAGCCAACUGCCUGGGUGCUCCACUGUCCUCGCAAUUGGGUUCCACCUUUUUGGUUCCGUCAACAUCACAUUCCCCUCGCUCAUGUGGUGAAUGCAUGCAGUUCAUCGGCUCAGAGAUGCAGCUGCCUGUGCUCCUUGAUGCAAACAGUGAAAUAUCUUAAAAACAGUCCUGAUGUGAAGGCUCGGCCCUCUGCAGGCCUCCAUCACAGACACACAGACAGUUUAAACUGCUAGCAAUUGCCUCAAACAGGUGUAAAUACUCGUCCAGUGAACGCCUCAUGCUGCCACGAUGGAACACGGAUCCAGCUGGAAGAACAAGUGCUGUGUGGGUUCCCUGAAGUGGUGCAACACUGGGUCACUGGAGAGCCACAACGUGUUUGGGAACAGAACAGUCUGUGUUAUUUCAGCACAGCCUGUUGGAUGAAGGGCCAUUUCACAGGCAUUAUGGAUUAAUCUUUGGCAGGAUCUCCCCAGGAUCAAACAAAACUGGAUGUUUAACCUCACGUGUCCUAGAGCUGAGAGGUCUCUUGUGAUAAACCAGGAUAGGGAGGAUUGAGUCUGACCCACAUUGGGUUAAACAUCACAUACUUGUAAAUUUAUUUGAACUGACUCCUUAUGAAAAGAUGAAAAUAUAAUGUGUAUACACAUCCUUCCUCAGACGUAAUCCAAACCCUGAGAAAUGAUUAAAUUCAUAACAUUAUGCUCCACUAGUGCAAAAGAAGACAGUGAGAGGCCUCUGUCAUCUGUGUUUUACACAAAUCUACUUCAUUAUUUUUGUUAUAAAUAAAAUACAAAUGAAUAUA